UCCAUUUCUCAUUUCAUGGACCUGUCUAUAGGUGAUAAGUGAAAAAUUCCUAAGUGAAAAGCCUUUUCUCAAAUCGAAGCCUCCUCGUUUCUCUCUUCCACCGAAAUCUCCCUAAGUGAAAAAUCCCUCUUCUCUGAUUUGCUCACCUUCUUCGGCGCGGCCUCUACGGCUACCUUCUCCCCAAGUAAUCCAAUUUCGAGCCAAAAGGAGGCAAUUGAAUUGAAUUGAAAAAAGUUUCGGUCCAAAAAGGCAGACAACUUCACAACAAAUACAUAAUAUUUUUCGAAUAAAUUAAAAAGAAGGGUUAGCUGAGAAUAAAGCGUACAUCCUCUCUGGUUUUUGCUUGAGAUUUUGGGGAUAGGAAAUGGAUAAAGAAAAAUGGAAGGUAGAAGGCUACUUCUGCAAUCGUCCUGGAUUUUUGGAAUCUGGGAGGGAACGAAACCAACGGGUGAGAAAUUUACUUCUAGCCCUUACGCGUUUGAGAUGCGGAGAAGUAGGACAUGGAAGACUGUGUGAAGCAGACCAGGAAAUUGUGAUGCAACGAGUAGGGUGCUUUCCUCCUAUGUUCUAUGUUUCUGAUUCGAAAGUUACUUUUUUUCUCUUUGAAAAAUUAUGUUUCUUUUCUUUUUUUAUUACUAAUGGUGUUGAUGGACUGGUAAUGGUGUCGUGCGACGGUGGGCGAUGGGGAGAUGGUGUUCUUCGAUUUAAUGGGGGCUCAAAUUGAUUUCUGAAUGGAGAGAUGUGUAGAUGUGUUUCAUUAUUCAGUGUAACGAGUCUGUUGUAAUUUCUAUGAAAUUGUUGACGUGCUGGAGUAUUAUUAGAUGCUGUUAAAGCCUUAUUUUCGGAUGGAC